rnacentral:lncRNA from 1 species
GUCCCACAUUGCAUGCUGCCCCACAUCGGGCACCAAUUAUCUAUUUAGGAAAUUUUAUGCGAGCAAACUUUAGGUUGCUUUGAUGUUAAAAAACUUUCCUUUUGAGAACUUCUAAUGUUAUUAGGAAAUUUUAAUAGUUAGAAUUAUAUUACACUUGGAGAAAGCCCGACUUGGAAAGAGUUCCUAUUUUUUUCUUUGAUAUAAAAAGGAAACUAUUGUGCAUUAGCAUAGUAGUCACCAAACUUUAUUCACCAUAAAAUCUGUAUAACGAUACGAAGCAAAGAAAUUUACAAGAAUGAAAGUUGGUGAAACAGCAGCAGAUAAAUAAAAUAGACAAAUGGUUAAAGGAUCCAAGGAGGCUCGGAGGAAAGUAAGAGCUCACUGAAACAUCCAAGUCGCCCGUCAUCAAAGCCUCUGAGGUGGGAUGCAAGGUGGUAGCAUCCAAGUCCUAGAAGAUGCAGGACCAAAACCAGGAAGUUGGAUCAAUCCAAAACAAGCCGCUUCAAAAUCUCAGCAGUAGUGAAAAGAGCAAAAAUCCCCAAAAAGUCAUCCAAAAAACUCUGAGGGCACGUAGGCCGACUAAUAGAAUGAUUAGAAUAAGAAUUUUCCAGCAAAGUCUAACCAUCGUAUCAUAUUUCCUCUGAGAGUUAAGCAAUGCAGGGGCAAGCAUAGAGACUCAAAAGAUGUAGCAUCUGAAUUAAUAAUAGAUCAUCAAUCAUCCAAUGCAAGAUCUUCAUCACAAUCUCGCAAAGCAACCAGCAAUAGGAAAAAAAGACUCGAUGCAGACUUCUAGAAGCAAAUAGGAAGGAGCAGGAUUGAAGUUUAACCAAGAUCAUAUCGAAGCUAGAACUAUGUCUGUCUCUCAUGAGAAUAGACCAAUCAGAAAAUAAGCUCACAAAUUUAUCAACAAUAGAUUCCAAAGAGACAGCUUUAUUGAGAAAAAUACGUGAGUUUCGCUCUGUCCAUAUGCAUCAAUACAAAGAAGCUAGCAAACAAAUGAUAGCAGGCUGCUAGUUCUUUUGAAAGUAACUCUUCUUCCAGGUAAAGAGAAUCUCCCCCAAGUUGCAAGGGGGUGGAGGGACCCCAAAGGUGGCAUAAAGAUGAUCCCAAAUAGAGGUUACAAAAGGACACUCAAUGAAGAGAUGAUCUACAGAUUCAGGAGCCUAAUUACAAAUACCACAAAGACCACAAUCUUUACCAAGUUUCUUAAGUAGGAGGUCCUAGUAUUAAGUUUUUUCAACAAUGCAAGCUAAAGAAAAUCCUUGAUUUUCAAGGGAAGAGUAGAUAUCUAAAUUAUAUUUGCCAAAGGCCACUUUAUGCCUCUUUGGAUCAAAAAUUUAUAAAGAGAGGAAGUGGGGAAGCAGCCUUUAGGGUCCAAAGACCAAGAUAUAGUAUCCAGUUCAAAAGAAAGGGACUUGUUCUGCAGUAAAUGAAGAAGGACAGCUUUUUGAGUAGUAGCCUCAUUAGAGAGAUUAGAGAAUCUAAGCUUCCAAGAGCAAGAUGUCGAUACAAAACAAUCAACCACCCUAGCUAAUUUGGAUCUGCAACAUCUAUAGAGAUUCAGCAGUAGUUCCUUGAAAGGUGCGUUACAAAGCCAGGGAUCCAACCAAAAAGAAAUAUUAUGACCAUUUCCCACAAUGAAUUUAUACCUAUUCCAAAUUGGAGGCAGCGAGGUGGCAAUAUCCUUCCAAAUCCUAGAGCAAGAUCUCCUUGGCUUCCAACAAGGCGAAAGCUUGAAUCUUUUGAAAUAAUUAGAAGAGAGAAUUCAUUUCCAAAUUCCAAAAUCACCUGAGAGGUAUCUCCAAACCCAUUUGGCUAAGAGAGAUUGGUUGAAGACACGAAGAUCUAAAAAACCAAGGCCCCCUUCUUCUUUGGCCAUGCACACUUUCUCCCACCUCACUUUGCAAGAGAUAGAUGAGGAGCCUUCACCUCCAGACCAGAGAAAUUGCGCCGGAUUUUGUCAAGCUUUUUACAAACCCAGUUGGAAAAUUUGAAAAGGGAGAGAAAGUAGGUUGGCAUGGAAGAGAGUAGAGUUGAUGAGAGUAAGCCUACCUCCAAAAGAGAGCCAUUUUCCCUUCCAAGAAGCAAGCUUGGUUUCGAAGUUGUUAAUUAGAGGCAUCCAAUCAGAUUUCUGAAGCUUACCUCCUUUGAGUGGGAGGCUAAGGUACUUAAUUGACAAAGAUGAAGCUUUACAGUUAAGCCAAGAAGAGAACACACUACCAAGAGAUGAAUUAGGACCCACUGCAACGAUCAAACUUUUAGAAAAAUUGAUAGCUAAACCAGAAAUCAGCUCAAAAGAAUACAGAAUCAAUUUCAGGACAACAAAAGAUUGUUUACCCCCUUGAACAAAUACCAAAGUAUCGUCGGCAUAUUGAAGUAUUUCUGCUCCUCCCAUCCCUUGAAAGGGAUUGGCAUUUUUAGCAUUAGAAAGAAGCUUGGAUAGAGGAUCUACAGCAAGGCUAAACAAAUAAGGGGAGAGAGGGUCGCGCUGUCUCAGACCACUCUUGCAUUUAAACCAAGUGCCCAAAUCCCCAUUAGCACAAACUGCAGCCUUAGAGGAGCACAAGGGAUUACUGAUCUACCCACACCACUUUGGAGGGAAUCCAUGGUAAACAAGUAGAUUAAUCAAAUAUUCAAUAUUCAUCUUAUCAAAAGCUUUAGUGAAAUCAAGUUUGCAUAUGGCACCAUCAAUCUUUGCUUUCUUACAGUGAUAGAUAAUUUCAUGAGCACAAAAAAUAUCAUCAAGAAUGGAUCUUCCUCUAAUGUAGGCCAAUUGAGUAGGAUCAAUAAGAGUAUUCAUGAAGGGUUGCAGCCGAUUAGCAAGAACUUUAGAAAUAAUUUUAAUGCAAGAGUGAACAAGGCUGAUAGGGUGGAAAUUGGGAGGGCAUGAGGCUGCAUCCUUCUUGGGGAUGAGAUAAAAAUAAGCAUAAUUUAGCCAAGAGAGAUCCACAUUUGAUUCAUGAAGCUGAUGAAACAAGGCAAAAAAAUCAGAGGACACUAAAUCCCAGAAUUUCUAAAAGAAAAUCAUCAAGAAACCAUCUGGUCCGGGGCUCUUAUCAACAUAAAAACUAAACACAGCUCUCUUGACCUCUUCUGAGGAAAAUAGUUCAUCCAAAAUACUUAGCUCAGCAAAUCGAAGAGAAUAUAACUCCAACUAGCUGAAAUCAACCAGUGGCUUGGAAAGUUUCGCAAAUAUCUCUUUGAAAUAAGAAGUGAGAUUAUCAACAAUUUGCUUGUGUUUGACAUAGUGAUGGCCUUUCCAAGAGAGGUGAGAGAUCCAAUUUUUCCUCUUGUGGAAGUUGGCAACUCUAUGGAAGAUAGCCGUAUUGCCAUCACCUUCUUUGAUCCAUUUUACUUUAGCCCAUUGUUUCCAAUAAACUUCCUCAACCAAAUAUGAGUGAAGCUCAUUCUUUAGGGAAGAUCUAUUUGAAAUUGAGAGGAGGAAAAGGGACAAAUUUCUUCUUUGCGAUCAAGGAACCGAAUUUUUGUGAGCAAAGAGGAUUUCAAUCUAGCAUUGGCUCUUGCAAGAUCCUUGCUCUAGAUUUUAAGAGCAUUUCUAGUUCUUCAAAGUUUCUGGACUAGAUUUUGGGCAGCAUUAGAGGAGAGAGACCCUUCCCAGCUAGAAUGAAUGAGAUCUCGGAUGGAGUUAUUGGCUAGCCAGCUUCGCUCAAAUCAAAAGAACAUCUUAGGUUUCUAAAAAUUGUUGAGGAAGAAUUGUAUCGGGCUAUGAUUUGGACAUGGAUUUGGGAGAACGACUUGAGAAGAAUUUGGACAUAAGAUGUCCCAUUCAAUAGAAACCAAAAAACGAUCUAGCUUUGCAAAGAUAGGAUUGUCCUAUCUGUUAUUCCAAGUGUAAUCUUGGCCUUUGAGGGGGAGUUCCUACUUCCUAGGUUGUCUAUUGUACCAUAAGUACCCCUAUGAGGCUUCAAUCCUGGGCAUCCUCAAGUAAUUGAGUUAUUCAAUUGGUGAAUUAUUGCCGCCUCUUCUCUGUAUCUCUCUUAUUCUCUCUCUCCAACCUUUUGGUGGAUUCCUAGGAGUGGCUUGCCAAGAUGGUGAUUCACACUUGGAAGAGAGAGACCCACCACGCCACUUCCUCCAACAACCAUCCAUCUUCAUUGGAAGCUAAUCGAUGCAUGGAUACACAAUUGCCAAAGUUUAGGCUCCGAUAUCUUAUAUCGUACGUGCCGUAGUGGGAUUUCUACCUCGCCACAAUUGGUAGGACUAGCAAAAAUGGACCCAACCCAUAAAUCCAUCAUAUCCAACUUGCAACAAAUAGGUUUGAGUUUGAGCUAAACAGGUUUAAGUAGUAAAUAUGCCAACCCAUUUUGAUCUGUUUGUCAAACAAGUCAAAUUCGGAUUCCAACAACAUAACCCAUUGAUCCAUCUAAACUGUUGAACAUUAAUCACGUCAAUUGGAUUAGGUUAGAACCCAUGACAUGCACUCGUGCCCAAACCUAACUACUCUUGCCUCACUACCUAUUUAUUCGCUCUAUCCCAUUUACUUGGCCUUUUGAAGAACUCUCUACUUCUCCUUUUCGAGUUUUUAGAGUUAGGGUUUCUCCACCAAGCUAAUUCGCAUUGAGGAUUCAAGGCAAAAGGAGGUUUGGAGGGACAGGCGGAAGCAUAGGAGGUGGGAUGCUAUGUGGGGAGCUCAACGUGCUCAUCAACGAUGGCCUUGGCAUUCCUAAUGAAACAAUCAACAACCUUGCUGGGUAGUUGUAGCCGAGGUGGAUCCUUGGCAGUUUGAAUGGCGAGGCAGACAUAGCGGUCUUGGGGGGUCCUUGGUGAUGCACAUCUUGCUAUGCUGGUCCUCACACUCAAUGAACCACACAAUGUGGCCCUAUGGAUCACCACUAUCUCCCAAGUGUCCCUUGCUCUACCGAACCUUGGCCAUUGAUGGUGCUGUCUAGUGGCCAUAGUAGUGGUGGCCAUAUGCCUCAGUCAUCUGAUUGGAGAGACAGGCAUAAUCAAAGAAGGAAGUCAUGGCAGGGAAGGAGGAAGGGAACAAGAAAUACAAGCAUUCCUCGAGCGAUAGGUUCCAGUGAUGGUGGAGGGGAUAACUUGGAAGCAUUGAGGUUGCUCUCUUUCCAAGCCUACAAUCUAUUUAUUUGCUUCUUACUUCUGCCACUAGCUUGCCCUCUCCUCCCCCUCCAAGCCCCUCCACAUCCCCUCCUCUAUCGCCUCCUCUGACACGUUGACCUGUAGUUGCACCACAACCUACUUUUCUCCUCUUCCUGGAAUAGGGUGGUGUAGGUUGGUGGUGGUUGUCUUGCAGCAAUGGAGAGCAUUAGGAUGUAGAUCAAAAAUAGCGAGAAGUGAUGGAUGGGCUCAUGUUGGAGGUGUUCAUCCCCUUGAUGCCAACCUUCAUUUCGAUCGAAGCGGGAUGGGCUUCACGAAGAUCGAAUAAGAAAAAUCAGAGAAGAAGCUGGAUUGGCUCGGGUUCAUCCAGCUUUAGGAACUAGGUAAGUGGAGGAUUUUAUUUUUCCUUUUUAUUCCUCUAAAUCAUGUUUUAAUAUAUUAGCAAAUAGAUGAAAUAUACUAGGUGAUAUAUUAGAUGCAGUGGGCUAAACAUAGCCUGACCGAUCUGACCUAUCGAUUAGGCAGGUUAAGCAGGUCGGGUAAGGUUAUCUGCAUUUUAAAUAUACAAGUUUAGAUUUUAAAUCCUUUCCUCUUUAAUAACGAGACUAAGUUUAGGUUUGGGAUUUUCUAACUCAGCCCACAUCUGACUUGACUCUAUACAACUGCCAUCCCUAACAAUCGGAUCUAUUGACAUCUUACACAUUCUUCUACUUUCAACACGGCUUCAACACCUCUUGGCAUUAGAAAUCAAUCAUAUUGGGAGUCGUUUAGUCUUUGCAUGCCACUCCAUCUAAAAAGGUCAUACUCAACAUGUUAGAAAAGUUGCAUGAACCUUAAACUAUAAGAGGAAUAGAAACAAAUAAUUGCUAAUAAAAUACAUGUAAUACAGAAUUAAUAACCACCAAACCAGCCGAACUAGAUCGAUCAGUAAUUGACAUGAUUCAGCCAUUCGGCUCGAUCAUGUCUUUUUUUUCUUUUUAAUAUAAAAUCAUUGAGCAGUAAGGCUGAAAAUCGGUGGAGCUUAGGCUCAAAAAUUUUUGGAAAACCCAGGCCCAAGUCUGGCCUCGAGCCCGACCGGAAUCUAAUUGGGUUGGCCUGAAUUUGUGGAGUGGACUGCGGUCCAUUGAAUCACAAACAGCUUUCUCAUUGAUAAUUCAAAUCCUGAUCAUUUAAGAUGUCUUGCAUCGCAUCCAACUAUUAUACCUUCAACAAAUUUUAUAGAGGCUUGAAAACACCAAUAUUCAACAAUUGUGAGCCCAAAGAUUUAAGGAUGAUGAAGGGUUUGAGAUUUAUGUAAACCUAAAAUCGAGCUUCAUUUCAGGUCUUAUCUAGGCUUGGGCUUGGGCUGGGGCCAAGCUUGAGCCGGGCCAAUGAUAUACCCGAGCCCGGCUUAAAAAACAAAUGGGCUUCAUAUUUAAUCCCAAACCCAACUUGAAAUCUUUAGGUCCUGGCUCGUAGCCCAACCCAAAGACAGGAUGGCCCAAGUCCAUUUCUAGCCCUAUCAAGUGGCCUUUUAAAGCUUCUCUUUGAUUAUCCCUCCCCCUCGAUUCUCUCUCGCUUUUAAUCUCUUGCUCCCAGAGUUCUUCAUUGAUCAAUGCCAAUGCCAUCUAUCUUGAUCGAUGGUUCGAACGAUCUCUCACUCAACUAAUGCCAAUGGUGACAUCUUUCCCUCGAUAUGCCUCUCUCUCUCUCCUCCCCCUCCCUCCCCCUCUCCUCNNNNNNNNNNNNNNNNNNNNNNNNNNNNNNNNNNNNNNNNNNNNNNNNNNNNNNNNNNNNNNNNNNNNNNNNNNNNNNNNNNNNNNNNNNNNNNNNNNNNNNNNNNNNNNNNNNNNNNNNNNNNNNNNNNNNNNNNNNNNNNNNNNNNNNNNNNNNNNNNNNNNNNNNNNNNNNNNNNNNNNNNNNNNNNNNNNNNNNNNNNNNNNNNNNNNNNNNNNNNNNNNNNNNNNCUCUCUCUCUCUCUCCCCCUCCCUCCCCCCCUCUCCUUCUCCCCUCUUCCCCCCUCCAUCCCUCUCUCUCUUCUUUAGUUGCAUAUCAUUACCAUACCGAACCAACCGUCAGUCAGUAUGAGUACUAGUUCAGCAAACCUUACAUAAAAUAAUAACACGCUAAUGCUUCACUAUAAAAAGGGAUUGGCUAGUGGCUACAGAUGUUAUUGGGACUAAUAACAUGUAACAUAAAGAAUAAUGGGCAUGCAUGGAUAAAAAAAAUGACCUACAUUAUCUAACAUAAAAACACUUGGAGAUCAUGAGUAGCCUAUUUAUUUCUGUGAUAAUAGAUUAGGAUAGCUUCAAUUGCAAAUUGUUUAUGCCCAAAAGUAUUCCUGACUCCACAUCUGUGAAGUCGGGUCAAGUCAUAUCGUCAGCAAUAUUAGGGCAAAAGUUGGGUCAAGUCAUAUGGUUGGCAAUAUAAGACAGAAGGUGGGUCAAGUCAUAUAGUCAAUAUUGGGGCUCAAAUGCAAAAUACAGAUAAGGGACAUGAUGAAUAAGGCUGCAAAUAGGUCAAGUUGAUCCAUGAUCCGACCCGUGGAGAUCCGACCCGAACCAUUUAAAAGGACCCACGGAUCUAGGUCAGAUUCUAAAAUUGGACCCAUUCUAUUUUCUGGGUCAGGUCCGGAUUUACUGAAUUUUGAUCUAACCUGACCCGAUCCAACCCACUUAAAUUUUUGGAUUUAUAUGGAUCUUAUGCUCAAUGAUCUGAUCUGACCAAAACCCAUUAUAUGAUCCAAAACCAUUAUAUAUUAGCAUAGGCUGGGCACAAAUUACCGACAACAUCAUCUUCUUUCCUUUCAAUCUCCACAAUUGAGCAGCACCCAUUAGUUCAAACUGAUGGAGUCCCCAACAAAUAUUAUCUUCCUUUCCACCUCCAUAAGAAAUCCUUUGUAUCAAACAUAACAAUGUUUCCAGCUCAAAAAAUUUAGACGAUUAGCAGGAAAUAGAUAUUUCACUUUCAAUUGUAUCCCAUGACUAAUCUUGGGAGCUCACAUCCACUUGGCUUCCAUAUGGACAUAAGGUACAUCUUGGCAGUUUUUCUUAGACGUAAUUGUCACAUAUUAAUGACCACUUCAAAGAUCAUGAUACAUCGCAAGUGUCAUUGGGUGGUAAACUUAUGAGAUCAACUUCAACUCCACUCAUGGAAGUUGAUUGAAUAGCUAUAGCUAUUGCCUGUUGGUUAAUUUGAUCUAUGAUCUGACCUAGAUCCGAUCCGGAUCCUAACCAGACCCAUAUUUUAUGGAUUAAGGCCAAAUUAUCCAUGGACCUGAUCCGACUCGAAUGACCCAUUGGGUCAAAAAAUUUGAUCAACGACCCAACCCGAUCUUCUAUUAGGCUGGGUCUGGGUCCAAUAUCAAGACCCGAUCAAAAAAUCGGAUUGAGUUGGGGUCACUUAUGACUCAGUUUGAUCCGACCCAUUUGCACCCCUAGUAAUUAAUUGAUUCACAGAUCAGUAGGAUAUCUAUAUGUCAGAAAGCAGCCAGCAGUACUUGAUCAAAGACUAGUAAACAUAUAUGCAAAUAUACACAGUCACAAAGGAACUAGACCUUGCGUGCUUUGGAAGGAGGCAUGAAUGAUCCAACUGGCUUUGAAACCAACUAACCUCACAAGUUGACUCGGAAAUUCAACACUACAUCUUAGUUUCCGCAUGUAGGCAUAUACUGUCCACUGGAUUUCAAUGCAAUUGGCCAUUUCAAUGACAUCAACCUAAAUAUAAAGAUUAAGAGCAUCUAUAUGGUACAAUUAUUGGCACAGUGUGCAGCAUGAUCAGAAGUAGCAAAUUGGUCUCUACCUGCAAUAAGUGAUAUUGGAAAAAUUCAUAGGUAAAGUCAUAGGGAAUCAACCAGAUCAGGAAAUUUAGAUGGCCAUGACUAUACACUCUUAAGUCUAAAGGCCACAAAAACUUAGUAUUUAAGUCAUAACAAAUUAAAGAUUAAAAAAAGAUUAAAAUUUGAAAUUUAAGAAGAGGUUAUCCUUAGCAGUUUUUUCUUUUCAAUAGUCAUCCAGUGUGAUGGUUUUCAGUAACCAUCAUAUACAGUGUUUGUAAAAAAAAUGCAAAAUUUGUUUUAGGGAUUAUUGAUUGAGGAGAAAUUGAUAAAGAAUUCUGAUGUACUCUUGAAUCUUGCAGCCGGACACUAGAUUUGCAAUGUGUUUUUGUUUUUCCACGGGUUUCUCGUUCAAGUGUUCAGGAUUCUCCUUUUUCUUUUUCUUUUUUUUUUUUUUUGGAAGUUAAGGAACAUGCUUUGAUUUCUCACUAAAAUAGGAAUGUUAUUCCCUUUGAUUCAUCCACAUCAUCAUCAUCACCGUUCCUAAACUGGAAGUUGAAUCAUCCACAUAAUAACAAAUUCAAGUGCCCUCUCUAAGUAAAACACAAAAGUACCUUUCGUUUGACAUCAUCAGGAGACACUUGCCAAGAUGUAGCGGGGCUUCCAUGUAGCGAGGAAUUGCAGGGUCACACAAUUAAAUAAGGUUUGGAUGGUCGGUAUUGAACUAGAAACAUCCAAAGGCUCGGAUUCCUUUUGACAGAAAAUUACUUAAGAGUGUUAUUUAAAACGUGCAAAUGCACAUGUAGGGGGACACUGUAACAUAAAAGUCUUUCACCCUAUAAGGUCAAGUACUGGACUUGAACUUUUCACAGCAAAAAAUGUAACAUCAUAAAAUCCCAAAUCAUAUUAUAAUGAAAACUAAAAUCAUAAAUAAACAGAAAUAAAUAGGAAGAAAAUAAGUAAUGAGAUAAUCAUUGAAAAGGUUAGGAUCACAGGAACUUACCCGUCCUAUGUUAAUGUGCACCUGGCUUUAGGGAAUAUAUAUAUCAAGAAUUUGGGGUCUGUCUAAUACUCCGCUAUAUGAGUUCUCCUACCUCAACAUAGCUGGGAUAUUCCAUGGGUCAAUACCUGCUUUUACAUCAUGCUAGGACAUUUCAAGAAUAAACAUGAAAAAACUUGUCACAAGCAGUUCAAUCUUGUAAAAUUAUUAAUAUGUAUAAUGAUGAAUAGCACAAAAGAUCAAAAUAAAUAAUCGGAUACAAUAGAUCAAUAAAC